rfam:Solanum tuberosum cultivar DM 1-3 516 R44 scf00060_34, whole genome shotgun sequence.
UUUCCCUGUGAUGUAAAAAUGACCAUGCUAAUUCUGAAUCUUUUUUCUGAAGAAAAGCUUAAGUUAUUUAUCUGAGGGAGCA